UGGGGAAUCUUGGACAAUGGGGGCAACCCUGAUCCAGCCAUGCCGCGUGGACGAUGAAGGCCUUAGGGUUGUAAAGUCCUUUCGCUAGGGAAGAUAAUGACGGUACCUAGUAAAGAAGCCCCGGCUAACUCCGUGCCAGCAGCCGCGGUAAUACGGAGGGGGCUAGCGUUGUUCGGAAUUACUGGGCGUAAAGCGCGCGUAGGCGGGCUGGACAGUUGGGGGUGAAAUCCCGGGGCUCAACCCCGGAACUGCCCUCAAAACUAUCAGUCUUCAGGUCGAGAGAGGUGAGUGGAAUUCCGAGUGUAGAGGUGAAAUUCGUAGAUAUUCGGAGGAACACCAGUGGCGAAGGCGGCUCACUGGCUCGAUCCUGACGCUGAGGUGCGAAAGUGUGGGGAGCAAACAGGAUUAGAUACCCCCGUAGUCC
rnacentral:rRNA from 1 species